rnacentral:rRNA from 1 species
CCUACGGGGGGCAGCAGUGAGGAAUAUUGGUCAAUGGCCGAGAGGCUGAACCAGCCAAGUCGCGUGAGGGAAGACGGCCCUACGGGUUGUAAACCUCUUUUGUCGGGGAGCAAAGCGAACCACGUGGGGGUCAUUGAGAGUACCCGAAGAAAAAGAAUCGGCUAACUCCGUGCCAGCAGCCGCGGUAAUACGGAGGAGGCGAGCGUUAUCCGGAUUUAUUGGGUUUAAAGGGUGCGCAGGCGGAGGUGCAAGUCAGCGGUCAAAUUGCGGGGCUCAACCCCGUACUGCCGUUGAAACUGCAUCCCUUGCGUGCGCGAGACGUAUGCGGCAUGCGUGGUGUAGCGGUGAAAUGCCUAGCUAUCACUCAGCACUCCGAUUGCGAAGGCAGCAUACCGGCGCGCAACUGACGCUCAUGCACGAACGCGUGGGUAUCGAACAGGCUUAGAUACCCGAGUAGUC